GCGAGACACUGAAUACAAUGAAAUACAUAGAAUACCGCGGGAUAUAUUGAAAUACAAUAAAAAAAAGGACAGUAAAUACAAUGAUAUACAUGAAAUACAACGAAAUACAUUAAAUUACAAUUUAAAAAAAAAAUAAAUACAAUGAAAUACAUGAAAAUACAUUGAAAUAUAUUAACUCUGCUUUUAUCUCUGCAUUUAAUGCAGUUCUCGUCAAACCCAGCUUCACGCAGUCGCUUCCAUAUGACUUCAUCUCAAAGGAGUUCUUGAACUUGAAAUCCUACCUGAUGUCGAAAUAGGCGUUCGAUUCACCGGAGUCAGAGCUAGUCUCUCUCACCCAAGACUUGUCAUUCUUGAUUUCUCUAAACUUUUGAUGAAAAUCAAAGAUUCAACUUUUCUUAAUCAAUUUGUUGGAUUCUUUCCUAAUAAGCCCUUUUACUUUCCCACGGCAGCAAAGAGUAACAAUACGUCAAACUGAGACUGAAACUGAAACCCUAACCCUGAGUCAUACUUCCACUUCCUAUACCCAUACAUAUGCAACUUCCGGCACUUAUUCGUAUAGUAGGCGCAAAGAAAAAUGGCAUAAAGGAAAAUCAAAGAGGACGAGUGCAGAGGAUAAGCACAAAUGGGUUUAUUCUACUCACGUUGUGCUGAUUUUUUGCUUCAACAAGACUUCUAUGAGCCAAAAUUUUAAUGGGAUGGGGAAAGAGAAUG
rnacentral:lncRNA from 1 species